rnacentral:rRNA from 1 species
GAUGAACGCUAGCUACAGGCUUAACACAUGCAAGUCGAGGGGAAACGACAUCGAAAGCUUGCUUUUGAUGGGCGUCGACCGGCGCACGGGUGAGUAACGCGUAUCCAACCUGCCCACCACUUGGGGAUAACCUUGCGAAAGUAAGACUAAUACCCCAAUGAUAUCUCUAGAAGACAUCUGAAAGAGAUUAAAGAUUUAUCGGUGAUGGAUGGGGAUGCGUCUGAUUAGCUUGUUGGCGGGGUAACGGCCCACCAAGGCGACGAUCAGUAGGGGUUCUGAGAGGGAAGGUCCCCCCACAUUGGAACUGAGACACGGUCCAAACUCCUACGGGAGGCAGCAGUGAGGAAUAUUGGUCAAUGGGCGAGAGCCUGAACCAGCCAAGUAGCGUGCAGGAUGACGGCCCUAUGGGUUGUAAACUGCUUUUAUAAGGGAUAAAGUGAGUCUCGUGAGACUUUUUGCAUGUACCUUAUGAAUAAGGACCGGCUAAUUCCGUGCCAGCAGCCG